rnacentral:rRNA from 1 species
AUUGAACGCUGGCGGCAGGCCUAACACAUGCAAGUCGAGCGGAAGAAGGGAGCUUGCUCCUGGAUUCAGCGGCGGACGGGUGCGUAAUGCCUAGGAAUCUGCCUGGUAGUGGGGGAUAACGUCCGGAAACGGGCGCUAAUACCGCAUACGUCCUGAGGGAGAAAGUGGGGGAUCUUCGGACAUCACGCUAUCAGAUGAGCCUAGGUCGGAUUAGCUAGUUGGUGGGGUAAAGGCCUACCAAGGCGACGAUCCGUAACUGGUCUGAGCGGAUGGUCAGCCCCACUAGACCGGUGACACGGCCCGGACCACUACGGUAGGCAGCAGAGGGGAAUAUUGGACUGUGCGCGGAGCGCUGAUCCAACCCAGCCGCGUGUGUUAAGAAAGUAUUCUGAUUGUAAUGCUCUUUAAGUUGGGAGGAAGGGCAGUAAGUUAAUCCCUUGCUGUUUUGACGUUACCAACAGAAUAAGCACCGGCUAACUUCGUG